GUUUCUAUAGUUGAAUAACAACGAUGAUUUUUCAUGUCAUUGGUCAUAGCUUAAGUCUGUGUAGAAACU
rnacentral:tRNA from 1 species